rnacentral:rRNA from 2 species
UACGGGAGGCAGCAGUAGGGAAUAUUGGACAAUGGGGGCAACCCUGAUCCAGCAAUGCCGCGUGAGUGAUGAAGGCCUUAGGGUUGUAAAGCUCUUUUACCCGAGAUGAUAAUGACAGUAUCGGGAGAAUAAGCUCCGGCUAACUCCGUGCCAGCAGCCGCGGUAAU